AAGUCGAGCGGAUCAAUGGGAGCUUGCUCCCGGCGAUCAGCGGCGGACGGGUGAGUAACACGUGGGCAACCUGCCCUGCAGAUGGGGAUAACUCCGGGAAACCGGGGCUAAUACCGAAUAAUCAGUUCCUCCGCAUGGAGGAACUCUGAAAGGCGGCUUCGGCUGCCACUGCAGGAUGGGCCCGCGGCGCAUUAGCUAGUUGGUGGGGUAAUGGCCUACCAAGGCAACGAUGCGUAGCCGACCUGAGAGGGUGAUCGGCCACACUGGGACUGAGACACGGCCCAGACUCCUACGGGAGGCAGCAGUAGGGAAUCUUCCACAAUGGACGAAAGUCUGAUGGAGCAAUGCCGCGUGAGUGAAGAAGGUUUUCGGAUCGUAAAGCUCUGUUGCGAGGGAAGAACACGUACGGGAGUAACUGUCCGUACCUUGACGGUACCUCGUCAGAAAGCCACGGCUAACUACGUGCCAGCAGCCGCGGUAAUACGUAGGUGGCAAGCGUUGUCCGGAAUUAUUGGGCGUAAAGCGCGCGCAGGCGGUCCUUUAAGUCUGAUGUGAAAGCCCACGGCUCAACCGUGGAGGGUCAUUGGAAACUGGGGGACUUGAGUACAGAAGAGGAAAGCGGAAUUCCACGUGUAGCGGUGAAAUGCGUAGAGAUGUGGAGGAACACCAGUGGCGAAAGCGGCUU
rnacentral:rRNA from 1 species